GACGAACGCUGGCGGCGUGCCUAAUACAUGCAAGUCGAGCGCUAAAGGAUGGUACUUGUACCAACUGGAUGAGCAGCAAACGGGUGAGUAACGCGUGGGGAAUCUGCCUUUGAGCGGGGGACAACAAUUGGAAACGAAUGCUAAUACCGCAUAAAAACUUUAAACACAAGAUUCAAGUUUGAAAGAUGCAAUUGCAUCACUCAAAGAUGAUCCCGCGUUGUAUUAGCUAGUUGGUGAGGUAAAGGCCCACCAAAGCGAUGAUACAUAGCCGACCUGAGAGGGUUGACCGCCACAAUGGGACUGAGACACGGCCCAAACUUCUUCGGGAGGCAGCAGGAGGGGAUCUUUGGCAAAAGGGGGAAAGCUUGCCGAGGAACGCCGGGGUAGGGAAGGAGGGUUUCGGGUCGUAAAACUCUGUUUGUAGGGAAGAACGUGGAUGAGGUUGAAAAGCUCAUGUAGUGACGGUAACUACACAGAAAGCAACGGCUAACUACGUG
rnacentral:rRNA from 1 species